UACGUAGGGACCAAGCGUUGUUCGGAUUUACUGGGCGUAAAGGGUGCGUAGGCGGGCAGGUAAGUCAGUGGUGAAAUCUCCGGGCUUAACCCGGAACUGCCGUUGAUACUAUCUGUCUUGAAUAUAGUGGAGGUGAGCGGAAUAUGUCAUGUAGCGGUGAAAUGCUUAGAUAUGACAUAGAACACCCAUUGCGAAGGCAGCUCGCUACACUAUCAUUGACGCUGAGGCACGAAAGCGUGGGGAUCAAACAGG
rnacentral:rRNA from 1 species